UCGGGAAUUUUGGGCAAUGGGCGAAAGCCUGACCCAGCAACGCCGCGUGAGGGAUGAAGUAUUUCGGUAUGUAAACCUCGAAAGAAUGGGAAGAAUAAAUGACGGUACCAUUUAUAAGUCCCGGCUAACUACGUGCCAGCAGCCGCGGUAAUACGUAGGGGGCAAGCGUUGUUCGGAUUUACUGGGCGUAAAGGGCGCGUAGGCGGCAAUUCAAGUCAGCUGUGAAAUCUCCGGGCUUAACUCGGAACGGUCAGCUGAUACUGCUUUGCUAGAGUGCAGAAAGGGCAAUCGGAAUUCUUGGUGUAGCGGUGAAAUGCGUAGAUAUCAAGAGGAACACCUGAGGCGAAGGCGGGUUGCUAGGCUGACACUGACGCUGAGGCGCGAAAGCCAGGGGAGCAAAC
rnacentral:rRNA from 1 species